GCGGAUGUAACUCAGUUGGUAGAGUACAAGCUUCCCAAGCUUGGAGUCGCGGGUUCGAAUCCCGUCAUCCGCUCCA
rnacentral:tRNA from 1 species